CAACCAGGCUGGACAGCCGCGGACGCAUGCCGAAAGGCAGCGGAUGAGGAAAGUCCGGGCUCCACAGGGCAAGGAUAACGGGUAACACCCGCCGAGGGUGACCUCAGGACAAGUGCAACAGAGAUAUACUGCCGGUUCCGCCGGUCAAGGUGAAAAGGUGGGGUAAGAGCCCACCCGGCCCAUGGUAACAUGGGUUUUACGCUGUAAACUCUAUCCCGGAGCAACGCCGUGGAGAAGCAAUAGGUCUGCCCGACCGCUUCGAGGAGGCGGCUUGAUCCCGCGAGCAAUUGCGGGGCUAGAUAGAUGGCUGUCAAAACAGAACCCGGCUUAUAGGCCUGGUUGCAAA
rnacentral:RNase_P_RNA from 1 species